rnacentral:rRNA from 1 species
AGGAUGAACGCUGGCGGCGUGCUUAACACAUGCAAGUCGAACGAUGAAGGCUGGAGCUUGCUCUGGCUGGAUUAGUGGCGAACGGGUGAGUAACACGUGAGUAACCUGCCCCAGACUCUGGGAUAAGCGCUGGAAACGGCGUCUAAUACCGGAUACGAGCUUCCACCGCAUGGUGAGGAGCUGGAAAGAAUUUCGGUCUGGGAUGGACUCGCGGCCUAUCAGCUUGUUGGUGAGGUAAUGGCUCACCAAGGCGACGACGGGUAGCCGGCCUGAGAGGGUGACCGGCCACGACUGGGACCGAGACACGGCCCAGACUCCUACGGGAGGCAGCAGUGGGGAAUAUUGCACAAUGGCGAAAGCCUGAUGCAGCGACGCCGCGUGAGGGAUGACGGCCUUCGGUUGUAAACCUCUUUCAGCAGGACGAAGCGCAAGUGACGGUACCUGCAGAAGAAGCACGGCUAACUACGUGCCAGCAAG